GAACUCACCGUAUAGUCUGUUUACAUGCAUAACUUUCUCCGACUUUCUAGGACGUGUUUUAUGCCACUUCUUUUUCUGUCUCAUUUUGUCCACCACACUUUUAACGUUGUACAUGAGUGCACAAAGGUCCAAUAUGGCUCUUUCAACAUUUUGGGUUGCCGACCCCUGACCUAGCCGAUGCUAGCCGCCAAACCCACGGAUGAAGUCCUUCGUCGCGCCGUCUAUCGCUGGAACGCAGCGCUUCCCGUGUUCCCCUGUGUCUGUGAUCCCUUGUUGUUCCCCUGCCCCCCGGACUGCCUUUUGGAUUCUCGACCUCCCGCUUGGACUUCCUUCUCUGACGCUUCUCUCUCGCCCCGGAACACCUGCCUGCCCCAUGGACUGCCCGUUUGCUCUCGUCAACACUUGGUAACACACUUCAGUUAACUACACACAUAGUCUUACACCACACACUCAUUCCCUUUCGGAUCUAGUUCACACUCCAUUUCCUUAGUUUAUUAUAUUAGUCUUGUUUGUUAUUAUUAUAUAUAUAUUGAAUAUUUAUAUAUUUAUAAUAAAUAAUUGUACAUACUGCCCCCUGGUGCCUGUUUGCCGUCACCUCCCCUUAGUGAUACACAACAGCGGGUACUAGACUGGCCUGCCUGUAGUCCAGACCUGUCUCCCAUUGAAAAUGUGUGGCGCAUUAUGAAGUCUAAAAUACCAAAACGGAGACCCCCGGACUGUUGAACAACUUAAGCUGUACAUCAAGCAAGAAUGGGAAAGAAUUCCACCUGAGAAGCUUAAAAAAUGUGUCUCCUCAGUUCCCAAAUGUUUACUGAGUGUUGUUAAAAGGAAAGGCCAUGUAACACAGUGGUGAACAUGCCCUUUCCCAACUACUUUGGCACGUGUUGCAGCCAUGAAA